CCUACGGGUGGCAGCAGUGGGGAAUAUUGGGCAAUGGGCGCAAGCCUGACCCAGCAACGCCGCGUGAAGGAAGAAGGCUUUCGGGUUGUAAACUUCUAGUAAGAGGGAAGAGGAGAAGACGGUACCUCUGGAAUAAGCCACGGCUAACUACGGGCCAGCAGCCGCGGUAAUACGUAGGUGGCAAGCGUUGUCCGGAUUUACGGGGUGGAAAGGGCGUGGAGCCGGGCCGGCAAGUCAGAUGUGAAAUCCCAAGGCUCAACCGUGGAACUGCAUUUGAAACUGUUGGUCUUGAGUAUCGGAGAGGCAGGCGGAAUUCCUAGUGUAGCGGUGCCAUGCGUAGAUCUUAGGAGGAACCCCAGUGGCGCCGGCGGCCUGCUGGACGACAACUGACGGUGAGGCGCGAACGCGUGGGGAGCAAACAGGAUUAGAUACCCGGGUAGUC
rnacentral:rRNA from 1 species